GUGGGGAAUAUUGAACAAUGGGCGCAAGCCUGAUCCAGCCAUGCCGCGUGAGUGAUGAAGGCCUUAGGGUUGUAAAGCUCUUUCAGUAGGGAAGAUAAUGACGGUACCUACAGAAGAAGCCCCGGCUAACUUCGUGCCAGCAGCCGCGGUAAUACGAAGGGGGCUAGCGUUGUUCGGAUUUACUGGGCGUAAAGCGCACGUAGGCGGAUUGGUCAGUUAGAGGUGAAAUCCCGAAGCUCAACUUCGGAACUGCCUUUAAUACUGCCAGUCUCGAGUCCGGAAGAGGUGAGUGGAACUCCUAGUGUAGAGGUGGAAUUCGUAGAUAUUAGGAAGAACACCAGUGGCGAAGGCGGCUCACUGGUCCGGUACUGACGCUGAGGUGCGAAAGCGUGGGGAGCAAACAGGAUUAGAAACCCCGGUAGUCC
rnacentral:rRNA from 1 species